rnacentral:rRNA from 1 species
GACGAACGCUGGCGGCGUGCUUAACACAUGCAAGUCGAACGGAAAGGCCCUGCUUUUGUGGGGUGCUCGAGUGGCGAACGGGUGAGUAACACGUGAGUAACCUGCCCUUGACUUUGGGAUAACUUCAGGAAACUGGGGCUAAUACCGUAUAGGAGCUCCUGCUGCAUGGUGGGGGUUGGAAAGUUUCGGCGGUUGGGGAUGGACUCGCGGCUUAUCGGCUUGUUGGUGGGGUAGUGGCUUACCAAGGCGUUGACGGGUAGCCGGCCUGAGAGGGUGACCGGCCACAUUGGGACUGAGAUACGGCACAGACGCCUACGGGAGGAAGCAGUGGGGAAUAUUGCACCAUGGGCGGAAGCCUGAUGCAGCAACGCCGCGUGCGGGAUGACGGCCUUCGGGUUGUAAAACGCUUUCGCCUGUGACGAAGCGUGAGUGACGGUAAUGGGUAAAGAAGCAACGGCUAACUACGUG